GACCGCGCUCUACACAUUCCCUUUCUCCAAAGAAGAGGUGGUGGGGGCAUGGGCUACGCAAGAAAAAGGUUUUUUAGUAGCAUCAGGAGGAAUCGGUACCUUGUGAAAUAUUCAAAAGAUCCUCUUUUCCCGUUUUCCCCUUCAUCUAUUCCUCUCUCUGGCUCUCAACUGUUUGAUCAUGCUGCCCCGGUGAUUAACUGUGCCACUUUAGGCACGCAUUUUGUACCUUUUUCUUCCAAACGUUUUUUCUUUUUGACUAUUUAAUCCUUCACUGGUAGCUUAUAGUUAGAUAUUCAGUCUCUAAAACCGACUC
rnacentral:lncRNA from 1 species